rnacentral:rRNA from 1 species
UACGUAGGGUGCGAGCGUUAAUCGGAAUUACUGGGCGUAAAGAGUGCGUAGGCGGUUCGUUAUGUCUGUGGUGAAAGCCCUGGGCUCAACCUAGGAAUGGCCAUGGAAACUGGCGGGCUGGAGUAUGGCAGAGGGGGGUGGAAUUCCGCGUGUAGCAGUGAAAUGCGUAGAGAUGCGGAGGAACACCGAUGGCGAAGGCAGCCCCCUGGGAUAACACUGACGCUCAUGCACGAAAGCGUGGGGAGCAAACAGG